rnacentral:rRNA from 1 species
UACGUAGGUGGCAAGCGUUAUCCGGAAUUAUUGGGCGUAAAGCGCGCGUAGGCGGUUUUUUAAGUCUGAUGUGAAAGCCCACGGCUCAACCGUGGAGGGUCAUUGGAAACUGGAAAACUUGAGUGCAGAAAAGGAAAGUGGAAUUCCAUGUGUAGCGGUGAAAUGCGCAGAGAUAUGGAGGAACACCAGUGGCGAAGGCGACUUUCUGGUCUGUAACUGACGCUGAUGUGCGAAAGCGUGGGGAUCAAACAGGAUUAGAUACCCGAGUAGUCC